ensembl:snRNA U6 U6 spliceosomal RNA
GUCUUCACCUCAUCAGCAUUUAUAUAAAAUUGGAACUAUACAAGGAAGAUUAGCAUGGCCCCUGUUCCAGGAUGACAUGCAAAUUCGUGAAGCAUUUUGUAUUUGA